GGAAUUUUUGACAAUGGGGGAAACCCUGAUCAAGCAACGCCGCGUGGAUGAUGAAGUAUCUCGGUACGUAAAAUCCUUUCGACAGGGAAGACACCUUCGGGUUGACGGUACCUGUAGAAGAAGCCCCGGCUAACUCCGUGCCCGCAGCCGCGGUAAUACGGGGGGGGGCACGCGUUGUUAGGAUUUACUGGGCGUAAAGGGCGCGUAGGCGGCCGGCUAAGUCGGAUGUGAAAACUGAGGGCUCAACUCUCAGCCUGCAUCCGAUACUGGUUGGCUUGAGUGCGAGAGGGGAAAGCGGAAUUCCUGGUGUAGCGGUGAAAUGCGUAGAUAUCAGGAGGAACACCGGUGGCGAAGGCGGCUUUCUGGAUCGCAACUGACGCUGAGGCGCGAAAGCUAGGGGAGCAAAC
rnacentral:rRNA from 1 species